UACGUAGGGUGCAAGCGUUGUCCGGAAUUAUUGGGCGUAAAGAGCGCGUAGGCGGCUCGUCGCGUCGGCUGUGAAAACCUGGGGCUCAACCCCGGGCCUGCAGCCGAUACGGGCGAGCUAGAAUUCGGUAGGGGAGACUGGAAUUCCUGGUGUAGCGGUGAAAUGCGCAGAUAUCAGGAGGAACACCGGUGGCGAAGGCGGGUCUCUGGGCCGAUAUUGACGCUGAGGAGCGAAAGCGUGGGGAGCGAACAGG
rnacentral:rRNA from 1 species